UGGAUGAGAGCACUUGGGUUGUCACAUGUCACCCCACAGAUCCUCAUGUUCCUUGGGCUGAUCUGGCUGGCUGUGUGGCAGCUGUCUCUCAUGACCACAGGUGGUCUCUCCCAAAGUUGCACAUAUUUGGAAAACAACGACCUUUUUAGCAGGCAUAGAAGCACCAUUCUUUUGUCAAGGAUGUACCAGCAGCUUUCUAAAAAUUUUCAUUUUAGCUCAAGUAAUUACAGAAAUAUAUUUGGGCCCUUAUGUUAUAUAGUAGACAAAAAUUAAUUCAAAAUAGAUCGUAGGCAGGGAAACGGACUUUGGCCCAGUGGU
rnacentral:snRNA from 1 species